GACGAACGCUGGCGGCGUGCUUAACACAUGCAAGUCGUACGGUAAGGCCCUUUCGGGGGUCCACGAGUGGCGAACGGGUGCGUAACACGUGAGUAACCUGCCCACAACUUUGGGAUAACGCUAGGAAACUGGUGCUAAUACUGGAUAUGUGCCCCUGCUGCAUGGUGGGGGUUGGAAAGCUCCGGCGGUUGUGGAUGGACUCGCGGCCUAUCAGCUUGUUGGUGGGGUAGUGGCCUACCAAGGCGGCGACGGGUAGCCGGCCUGAGAGGGUGACCGGCCACAUUGGGACUGAGAUACGGCCCAGACUCCUACGGGAGGCAGCAGUGGGGAAUAUUGCACAAUGGGCGCAAGCCUGAUGCAGCAACGCCGCGUGCGGGAUGACGGCCUUCGGGUUGUAAACCGCUUUCAGCAGGGACGAAGCUUUUUGUGACGGUACCUGCAGAAGAAGCACCGGCUAACUACGUG
rnacentral:rRNA from 1 species